rnacentral:rRNA from 1 species
UACAGAGGUGCGAGCGUUAAUCGGAAUUACUGGGCGUAAAGCGCACGUAGUCGGCUUUGCAAGUCGGGUGUGAAAUCCCCGGGCUCAACCUGGGAACUGCAUCCGAGACUGCAUUGCUAGAGUAUGGGAGAGGGAAGCGGAAUUUCUGGUGUAGCAGUGAAAUGCGUAGAGAUGCGGAGGAACACCGAUGGCGAAGGCAGCCCCCUGGGCCAAUACUGACGCUCAGGCACGAAAGCGUGGGGAGCAAACAGG